GCCACGGUGGUCUAGCGGUUAGAACGCUGGCCUUGUAAUCCUGGGGUCUCGGGUUUGAUUCCCGGCGGUGCCC
rfam:Zootermopsis nevadensis contig15385, whole genome shotgun sequence.